UCAGCCUCCGCGCCCCGCCCCCGCCGCCCGCGCUUGCGCUCCGCCCCCCCUGACCGCGCCUGCGCGCCCCUCCGCGGGGCACGCCGGGAAGCGAUCCCUACCACUGCCGCCGAGCGCGCCGCCGGGAGCCGGGGGCUGCGCCCGUAGGCCCUUUGCCGUUCCCGACACCCUGGGAGGCCGCCGCUGCCGCCCCAGCUCGGACGAGCGGCCGGGACCCCUGUGCGCGGGGCCGCGGGCAGGGCUGCGCUGCGCCGCCCGGCUCGGCCCGCCGCCCUUUUGUGGCCUUUUUGUGACGUCUCGUCGCGGGGCGGGGCCGGGUCGGAGCUGUCCGGAGCCUCAGUUUCCCCGGGGGCGCUGGAGCCAGGAGGGUCCCGCCGCUCGCAGCCCCUCCCCACUUGGCACGCCUCUGCAGCGUGGACUCGGCACCCGUCCUGGCCGAACCCCAGACCAGAGCCCUGACCCUCCCUGGCUGUGCCCGCGUCUCAGGCCGACCUUUGACCCCACCCUGGGCUUCACCCGGACCCUGCCAGAGCGCUGACCUGGCCGCGCCCCGGGCCCGGACACCCGUACAGCUCUGGGUCGGAGAGUUGGGAUGGGGCCUGGCUUCCAUCCCUGCACGUCCGCAGGUGACAGCUCCCCACGAGGGUGGGCGUGGCACUCGAGGCCUGUGGUGGCCUUGCUGGCAGGUGACCCGGGCAGCCAACAGUUGCACCAACACCUCGGGCUGAGCUGAGCUGAUUUCCUCCCCCGGCUGCCCCGACACCUGGCCCUGGGCUGGUCCCCCGCUGAGGACAGACAGAGAAGUUUCCCAAGAUGUCGUGUGGCAGCUUGUUGAUGAAUAAUAGUUAGAAUUAAUUAUGAUUCUUCCAGAGAAGUGUCCCAAGAUGUCUCCCUGCGUACACCCCACAGGAGUUAUCGCAGGAGUUAUUGGGUGAGUGGGGGCAGCCCUGGAAAUGUAAAGAGAGGUACCAGGUUUGGGGCCCCUCCAGCUGGUCCCACAUGAGGCCUUGUCCCCCAGGAAAGCUUGCACCUCAGGCUCUGAAACAUCCUGAGGUGGUGGACGUCUGGGGUUUCUACCUGCCCAUUUUCUGGCCAAAGCACCUCCAUUUUCCCAUGGGGCUACCACUCUUAGUCUGCAAGGUUCCAGUUGGACUGAUCGUCAAGCCCUGGCUGCAGGCAUGGCUCCUCCAAUCAGAGUACCCUAGGCCCCCUGGUUGGUUCAGGAAUAGCACGUGACUUGGCCUUUUUCUGGGGACACGAUGCUGCUGAGAUGUCUGAGCUGGGAGAACCUGGACCUGGAGCUAUAGGACCAUCUCGUCACCACAAGGCCUGUGAACAAAGUUGGCGCUCAGGAAAGCUGAGCCAACUGAUGAGAAAGUGCUGAAGACCCUGUUUGUGCUCCUGGAUCCAGCCAUGCCUGGCCUCCCCUUGCAAUGGUGCAAGUCAAUAAAUUACUUCUUUUCUUAUUAAGCCAGUUUGAGUUGAGCCUUCCAUCACGUGCGACAGAAGAGCCCUCAAUUCAAAUCUAGGUCUGCCUUGAACUUGGAAAUGGUCCUCAAAUGUAGACUUGUAAGAUAAUGAACUUGUGUUGUCGUGGGGUUUUCUGAGGUUUUUUUGGUUGUUGUUGUUUUGUGUUGUUUUGUUUUUGCAGUGGUUUGUUACGACAGCUACAGGAACUGAAUACCCUCGCUUCUAUGAGCGUCAGAGUCUUCCUCUGGAAAAUUGAUUAAUUAAUUCAUGGCCUUCCACAGACAAAUCUAGAUGCCGGGGGUACAGCAGUGAAUAAAAUAUGUAAAAAUCCCUCCCCUUGGGGAGACAGGGAGAAAGAACAUAAGUAAGCAACUUCUGAUAGCAAUAAUUGAAGAAAAGUAAAGGACAGUGAGGCAUUAGCAACGGGAGUGGAGCCGGAGAGUUAUCUCGGAUAGGGGCUCAGGGGAGGCGCCUCUCAGGAGGUGGCAUCUGAGUGGGGACCAGAAUGGGGUGAACCCCUUGGGUCUGGAGGAGCAGUGUUACAGGGAGAGGGAACAGCGCGUGCAAAGGCCUGAGGUAGGGACAAGCCGGACCAGCUAGAGACCAGUGUGCCUGGGGCAGAGUGAGGGGACAGAGUCGAGGAGAAAAGCUGGGGAGAGUCUCUCUGCUCAGCUUUCCUGAGUGCUCACUGUGUUCACAGGCCUUGUGGUGACCAGAUGGCUCCAGGAUCCAGGCCCAGGUCCUCCCAGCUCAGCCACCCCAGAAAAAGUCCCAGGGCUGCAUCUCAUUGGCCAGCUGGGAGUCACGUGCUGUUCCAAGCACUGAGGCCAGGGUGCCUGGAGCACUCCUACUGGCUGGUGGGGUCGCCCAGGGCAGUGAGGAUGAGGGCUGGACCAGUGUGGGGAGGCGCAGGCAGGAUGAAGCUAUGAUGUGCAACCUACAGGAUGCAGAGAAGGGCCAGCUGAGGGGACAGGGGAGGCAUCCAGGCUGAGCCCUGGUCCCUGGGUGGACUGGGGGCUUCCUCGGAGACCACAGACUCCAGAGGAGCCCCAGGGUCAGGGGGGCUGACCGGAGGCUCCGUCCUGGAUGUGGCAGGCCUGGGAUGUCCUUGGGUUGUCCCUGAGGAGACGCCCAGCAAGUGGUUGGCUCCCCAGGGCUGGAGCAGAGCAGGGCUGGGCCUGAGAUGUGCAUUUGAGACUCCUUGGUGACCAGGCAGUAAUGGAAGCCAUGGCCCGGAUGAGAUGCCAAGUGAGGAGGAAGCAUGAGGAAAGGAGAGGAGAGGUCCCUGACACACAAGGAGGACGCCUUUCCCCAGGGAAGCUGGGGAAGAGGAGCCUUCGGGGUGCUGUGGAGUGAACGCUAUGGGGGCGCGGGGUUUGGAAGGCAGGGAGGCCGAGUGUCCACACUGCUGUGAGGUCAGAUAAGCAGAACAGCUCAGCCCCUCCAGGCUGUGCCCGUAAAGGUCAAACCAGGAAUUCAGGAUCCAAGACCAGGCGUGAUGGUGACUCAGGGGUGGCAGUGAGGGAAGGUGGUGGGGCAGGGAAGGUGACCCCAGAUGGAGCUGGCCUCAGCCUGAUCCGGGGGGGACCCUGGAAUGUGAGUUAGCGUCCCAUGAGGCAAGCGGACCAGCUCUUGGAUCCCCUGGUGCUCACUGGCCACUCCCGCCCCAGAUGGGGGCAUGAGGCCUCCUGGGCCACGUGGCUUGGUCUCUGGUGGGGCAGCUGUGAGCCUCGGCAGAUGGGAAGGGGAUCUGGUGGCACCAGUGACACCUGCUACAUGCUGUCUAGUCCAGGGGACCACAGAGCUGACCAGAGGCUGCCGGAGCCCGUGAGUCCACCUGCACCGCGCAUUUCAUGCAGACGCCCUGCCCGGCCGCAAGCCCCAUGCCGCAGGGGCCUCAGCACAGCUUGCUCCCCGAGGCCGUCCAGCCCCCUAAGGGUCUCAGCCUGCUGACACGCCGGCCCAUUUCCUGCGUGCGGUGUCAGUAACAGCUAAUGCUGAGGGAGGGGGGCACCUCUGUGAAGCUACUGGUUAUGUAACAAACGACCCACAAACUUCGUGGCUUGAAAUAGUAACAUUCAUUCAUUAGCUGCAAAGCAGGAGUCUCCAGUCAGGAACCUCUGUGUGGCCUGUGCUUCCUCAGGCUACUGCGUGGCCACCGCAUCCCCUGGAAGCCAAGUACUGUCACAAAAGCCACCAAGUGCAAGGAGAGGGGAUGCAGAUUCCACCUCUUACCUGCCUCUCUAGGGGGCUGGGAGAUUCAAGAAGAGCAAAUGGGAACGGAAAGGAAGCCGUGGCAGCUUUUGGAAAACGCAGCACAACUCACUGGUUUAUCGAUUACCAGCCAAGGGCAGGCGCUGGGAAAUGGGAGGCAAGGUGGUCCCUGCCAUUGGUAGCUCGAAAAAGGCUUUAGAUUCUGUCCCCGUGUGAUCUCCCUCAAUCAAAAUCGGGGUGCCCUGGGUCCCAUUUAACAGAGGAGGAAACUGAGGCCGAGAGUGAAGUUACCCGCCUGCAACUCUCCUGGGCUGGGAAUCUGCUUCCUGCGGAAUCCUCCGUCCAGGAUGUGCUCCUGCUGGCGGAAAGGGGGACACCCAGGGUGCUUGGUGACUCUAACGGGUGUGCCUGGAUCCCGGACGGGCCCCGUGGCGGUGGUGAAGGGGCUGUGGCUCUGGGUUACAGAGCGCGGGCCCGGGUUCGGAUCCCUGCUGGCCCCUUGCUGGUGCUGCGACCUUCACUCCUCUGGGCUUGGUUUCUCCAUCUGCCAAAUGCGGGCAGUGGAUUACCUUACGUAUAGGGCGGCGGUGAGUCAAGACAUUGUCAGGUGUCAGACGUGUUAGCUGUUUCAGUCGUCACCAUCAUGACUACCUGCCCAGCUGACCUCUCCCUUUGGCGGUUGGGGAAGCCGAGGUCCAGGGAGGAACUGCUGGGGCGGGGCGCUCGUGGAGGGCAGGCUGGGGACCAGCCAUGCCUCCCAGGUCUCGGGGCUGUGCCUCCAGGGCACCUCGCUGGGUGCCCCAAUGCCCUCUGCUCUCAUAAAGCUGAGUCCAGGGGCUCCCUGGGGUUUCUGGGCAGUGGUGGGACCCGCUGGGGCUGGCCAGGGUGCGCCCGAGUGGAGAGAGUUUCCAGAGCAGCGUGCUGGGGGCUGGACACGGGUGCACGCGCACACACACACCAGGUCAGCCUGGGGAACAGAUUUUUAUUUCUGCUGAGGAGAGGGGCCCGGGCAGGCGGGCGGGAAGGGAUCCUUGGCCUCCCCCAGAAGGGGGCUUGGGCAUCAUUCCAGGCGGGAAGCUGGGUGAGGGGGCUCCCUGCACCCCUGGCAUGCAGGGACACCCCAGUCCUGGCCCCGGUGAGCCGGACCCCGAGGGCCCCAGGUAUCCGGGUGGAGGAAGCGGCGGCCGAGGGAAGGGCUCAGCCCACGGGCUUGACCUUGGCGAUGAAGAGGGCGGCCGCCUUCUCCAGGAACUCCUCCCGGGUCAUGGGGGUGCUGGGCCGCCGGGCCACCAGCGCGCGGUCCAUGGCCAGCGCCAGGCUGUCGGGCCCCAGGCGCGAGCCGGCCUCCAGGUAGCGCGCGGGCGUGGUGUCGUCGCUGGCCUGCAGGGCCCCCUCCAGCGUGUCCAGCACAGCCUGGCCCACGUGGCGGUCAGCCACGGCCAGGCCCGGGUCCUCCAACAGCCGGUAGAGGGCGCCGGCGCGCGCCACGAACUCCAGCAGCACGAAGCAGGUGAGCAUCCCCGCGCGGAACACGGCCAGCGGCACGGCCUCGUGGUCCCGGCACUGGAUCUUGCGCAACAGCGGCGCCACCACCUCCUCGGGGGCCUCCCCGUCCCGGCAGAUGCGCUUCAGCAGCUCGCUGUACGUGCGCCCGUCCAGCCCCGGCUUCUUCUUGCGCCCGCUGGCGCUCAGGCACUCGUAGGCCACGCCGACGUUGUUGUUGAAGGCGGUCCUGCGGGCGGAGGGGCCGUCGGGCCGCGCCAGAGCCCCGCCCCUGCCCCCCGGCCCCUCCCCCAACGCGCCGGCUCGUCCAGCCUCAGGGCCUUUGCGCCAGCGGCGCCCUGGCCCGGAGCGCCCUCCCCCACAUCUCCCCACGGCUUUGAGCCUUUGCUCAAUGUUACCUUAUGGGGGGGACCCUCCCUGACCCCCUAACCCCUUCCUGUACUUCUCUUUGUGGUGUCCUCACGAGUUCCCUCCCUCCCACCAGCUCAGCCCAGGGGCCUAUGUCAGGGAGUUUAUUUGUUGGUCACUGUUACAGCCCCAGCGCCCAGAACACUGCCCAGGAGCCCCAGAAACGUCUGCUGACCCCGACGAUGGGCAUCCGCCCAUGGACUCUCCAUUCCAUCGAUGAUGUGUGUGCCCACGGGGUGUCACCGUGGCAGGACACAUCCCUACCUUUUAACCUGGGUUGUCUCUUUUCACCCCUGCAGGCCCAGAGGCAGUAACCCACACUGUGGCUCAAAGCCGCUGCCGCCUGUCUUCGUGGGUAAAGAUUUAUCCGCAGGCGGCCAGGUCAACCCAGACCUGCUGCCCUUCUGCUGCAACAGCAGACCCGACGGUCACGUCAGGGACCAGCCACGGCGCUGACAUUACUUACCGCCUGCCCCACGAGGACCCUGAUGUCCCGCCACGAGCCCUGGCCACGCUGGAGCCCCACAAGUGGUUACGUGAGCGGGCUGGGGUGAGCCUGGGCAUCUAGAUAACCCGGGUCUCAUUCCCAUCCUUCUCUCAACAGCUGGCGGCCAGCCGAGGCCCAGUUCCAUCUCCACUGAGGCAAAGGGGAAGUGAGGCUCGGGGCAGCGGCCAGGCCAAGGGUCCCACAGAGGAAGGGGCACCCCCAGGGCUCACAUUCGCCUUUUCUGGGAGCCCAGCUCCACUCUUAUCUGUGGGACCCGUACGGGUCAGCGUGGGUGCGAGCCCGGUCCACGCUGGGCCGGAGCACGGCAGGUGCCCAGGGCAGGGCCCAGGGAUGGACAUGCUCACCCAGUGAGCUCCGUGGGUCAAGGCCCUUUACAGAGGAGGAACUGAAGCCCAGAGGGGAGGGGGGAGGACCUGGGGUCUCGCCCAUCCGGGAUUCACUUCUCACUUCUUGUGCUGGUGCUUUAGGGCCAGUGAGACCACUCCGUGAAGCGCUGGGGCGCCAGACGCAGCGUCAUGCUCCCGUCCCCAGGGCUGGCACCGUGUUAGCUGCUGCCGCCUCACAAUAACCCCUUGCAGGAGCUUUUGCUAUCAACUCCUUUCACCAGGACGAGUGGGUCCGGGGGACCUGGCAGUGAUGAUGCCCGUGUCAACUCUGUGGCCGCGUGGCAGCUACCCCCACACCUAGAUCACGUCGCAGCCUGAGUCAGGAACUGGGAAUGGCUUGGCUUGGUGGUCCCAGCUCAGUCUUCAGCCAGGACCCUGGCAGGGCUGCUGUCCCCUGAAGGCUCCCUGCGGAGGUCUCUCCCCACGGGGCAGUGUGAGUGUGCUAAGGUCACGGCACUGGCGCCUGGAGCGGGUGACCGGCAGGGUGGCAACGCAGGCAGCUGCCCGAGGCUGUGAAUACGGGGCGGGGGGAGGAUCUCGGGGGUGUCUUGAAGGCAGGCCGCCCCACCCCCACGAAAGCAUGGCCCACUUCCCGUGGAGGGUCCACUCCCCGCAAGGCUGAGUGAGCAGAGCCCCUGCCAACCCAACAGCAGCCGUGUGAGGCCACUGAGGUCUCGGGUGUGUCCCUGUGGCCUGAUGGCUCAUCCUGAUGGGGCCUGAGCGUCCACCAUCCGCCCAGCUCUGCCUGAUGCUUCCCCAAGGAACCUGGUCGACCCACUAGUUGUCUUGAGCUGAAUCAAUUAACCGGAGGCGGCGGCGUGUGGGGACCCCUGAGCACCCUGUGUGCUCAGAGCUGUUCCUGGCUGGCCCAGACCUACACCGGUUCUAGCCACUGCGCCCUGCUUCCCUCCUCUGGAGAAUAAGGGUUCUAGUCCUUGCGUCUCAGGAUUCUUGGGAGGACAGAGGGUAGAUUUUGUGCUCGGCGUGUGGCAGGGGACCGCGUGCGCCUGUCAUUAGCUGUCACCAGCUGCCACUCAGCGCUGUCCAGGUUCUGUUUACCAUGGGCCUCGCGGGCAGGAAGACGCACAGGGGGGCAGUUACGGUCCAGUGAGAUGAGAGCGUCAGGCAAGAAGCCAGAGGAAGGCCACACCCCAUCUCGAGGCCGCCCUCCCGGGGGCUCCCAGCCAUGAGGGAGCACUCACACCACCUGCCGUCCUGGGCUCUGGUCCUCAGGCUCUGCCUGUGUCAGCUCCCACACAGAGCAGUUUGCAAAGCACGUGGGCAUUUGUUAAAAAAGAACCUAUUUACGGGUCUUGUCACAGAGACAUGGAGGCUUCCAAGGUAGACCGGGGGCUCUCAACGGGGUGACUCUGCCCCCAAGGGACACUGGUGACUCUGGGGACAGUUAUGGUUGCCACCACUGGGUGGGUGGAGACCCAGGAGGCUGCCCAACACUUGCAGGGCCCAGGACGGCCCCGCACAGAGUGACCGCGCUCCCCCUGUGUUAGCAGUGCUGAGGAGUGACUCUGGUUAAUUGUUUGGAAAGAAAUUGGGUCCUCUCCCUGCUCACACCAGAGGCCUGCAUACAUCCCACUGAGUCAGGCGGUGUGAACCAGGGUGGCCCCCAGUGUCUGUGGGUCACCUCCCCUCCCUCCCACUCAGGUGUGUAUUUAAAUGUGUGCAGCAUCCCAGGACCUCAGAGGUCAGACGGUCACGGGACGUAGUCUCCUGGGGGGGUCCGUGGGAUCCCAUAAUCUGGGGGGUCUUGUCUGGGAAGAUUCUGCCCGCAGGGGACACUGGGUGAUGUCUGAGGACGUCUGUGCUUGUCACAAUGGGGAGGGCUCCCGGCAUCGCGUGGGUGGGGGCAGGGAGGCCGCUCCACACCCCACAGAGCCCGGGACACCCCACAGAGGAUGCUCAGAGCCGAGGAGACUGGCUCAGACCCUUUGGUGCCUUUGCAUGUUUCCUGGGGCCACGGGGACCUGCAGCGGUUGGCACUCUUGCUGUUCCUAUUAGCACGUGGUGGCUUAGAAGGCGGCCCUGGGCCACCAUGCCAGGUCUGCUGUGUUUGUGCUCUGAGGGCCGUCACCAGUCCUAGCAGCCAGCACGUGUGAUUUCGAGACAACAGCAGAGGGGAUUUUGGUUGAGUUCUCCCCAAAUCUUUCGUGCUGAGGUCGCUCUCAAGAGCAGCCCCGGGAUUCCCCAGCCCACCCCUCAGCAUAGGGACGAAGCUGCCCAGCCUCGGGGGGACCCGCCUGGCCUGGCUUCUGCUUCUGACCCGGCAGCCGAGGUGAUGGGGCUCCUGACUGGGAACGUAUCUCUGAGUUCAGCACCAGCCCCGCCUCGGGGAGACCACGUGUGCCACCAGCACCGGCCACUCACUCUGCUCCUCCGGAGAACCGCUCCAACACCCCUUCAGUAUGGUGAACAGUGUCCCCCCAGGUGCACGUCCACCCGGAACCUGUGAGUGGGACCUUAUUUGGAAAUAGCGUCUUUGAAAGAUGUAAUUAGUUCAGGGUCUGGAGGUGGGGUGAGGUAGCCUUAAAACCAAUGCCAAGUGUCCUUUUGAGAGAGUGACACAGAAGAGAAGCCACGGGAAGACAAGGCAGAGGCUGAGAGGAUGCAGCCACAAGCCAAGGAUGCUUGGAGCUUCCAGAAGCUGGAGGAGGCAGGAAGGACCUUCCCCUACAGCCUCCAGAGACGGCACAGCCCUGCUGCCCCCGGACUUUGGACUUUGGCCUCCAGAACUGUGGGAGAAUAAAUUUCUGUUGUUUUAAGUCACCAA